CCCUUAGAUGUUCUGGGCCGCACGCGCGCUACACUGAUGCAUUCAACGAGUCUAAAACCUGGUCUGAUAGGGCUGGGUAAUCUUUUGAAAGUGCAACGUGAUUGGGAUAGAUGAUUGCAAUUCUUCAUCUUCAACGAGGAAUGCCUAGUAAACGCAAGUCAUCAGCUUGCAUUGAUUACGUCCCUGCCCUUUGUACACACCGCCCGUCGCUCCUACCGAUUGAAUGAUCCGAUGAAUACCAUGGAUUGAGAGUACGAAUGGGUUCGCUCAUUUCUGCUGCUCGAGAAGUGGAGUAAAUCUUAUCAUUUAGAGGAAGGAGAAGUCGUAACA
rnacentral:rRNA from 1 species